AAUCACCAGUCACAGGUAAUCUACUCAACUAGCCAAUCACCAAUCACAGGUAAUCUACUCAACUAGCCAAUCACCAAUCACGGGUAAUCUACUCAACUAGCCAAUCACCAACAGGUAAUCUACUCAACUAGCCAAUCACCAAUCACAGGUAAUCUACUCAACUAGCCAAUCACCAAUCACAGGUAAUCUACUCAACUAGCCAAUCACAGAUAAUCUACUCAACUAGCCAAUCACCAAUCACGGGUAAUCUACUCAACUAGCCAAUCACCAAUCACAGGUAAUCUACUCAACUAGCCAAUCACCAAUCACAGGUAAUCUACUCAAUUAGCCAAUCACAGGUAAUCUACUCAAUUAGCCAAUCACCAAUCACAGGUAAUCUACUCAAUUAGCCAAUCACCAAUCACAGGUAAUCUACUCAAUUAGCCAAUCACCAAUCACAGGUAAUCUACUCAACUAGCCAAUCACCAGUCACAGGUAAUCUACUCAACUAGCCAAUCACCAA
rnacentral:lncRNA from 1 species